UUUCCGUAGGUGAACCUGCGGAAGGAUCAUUACCGAGUUAGGGUCUCCCUCGCGGGGCCCGACCUCCCAACCCCGUGUCUACUAUACCUGUACGUGUUGCUUCGGCGGACCGGCGUCUCGUUCACGCGAGAUCGCCGCCGGGGGGACCUGAACGACCGCGUUUCGCGGUUGUUUCCCCCCUGGAGAGCGUCCGUCGAUGGCCCAACCAAACAAACUCCCAAAACCAAAAAUUAUAUUAUAACCUUCUGAAUCAGACCUUUUGAUACACCAAUCAAAAACAAAACUUUCAACAACGGAUCUCUUGGUUCUG
rnacentral:misc_RNA from 1 species